rnacentral:misc_RNA from 1 species
GAAAAAGAAGGGAUGCUGAAACUGCUGGCGCUGAGGGGCGGUGGGUCACUGGUUUCUGAGAGAGGAUGAGUGAAAAUUGUGUCCUUUGAACAAAAAAGGAAAAACGUUUCGUCUAGAUUAUAAACCCCUCUUGUAUAUCCAUUUAAUUUUCCCUUGUGUCCACUGUUUUUGAGCAAAAUGUGCAGAAGAAUGAGCUAGUAAUGGCUGUGGCAGAAGCAAGAACCGCUUGGCAAAGAGCAGUUAAUCGAUGUUUGGUCCAGGAAGAUGCUAAACGAGCUCCAAAGUUGGCAUGCUGCUCAUCAGCAUCACCCUCAUCGAAACAGGUUGAUACUGGACCUGCAAAUGGUGCUGAUGCACAAAAUCCUUCUGGCACAUGCUUCCUGCCUUUUGACAGGAACUCUUCAUAUUGUGAUUUAUCCCCUAAUUCAAGAUGGUGGCUGCAUCUUCAACCUAAUUAUGGGUAUCAAAAAGGCUUAGUGAGUGAACUGGUAGAUUCUAUUGAAGCAGAGAUGGAAAAUAUUGGACCAGUUUUAGAUUCAAUCCCUAAAUAUAACAAGUUGUGUGAUCAGAAUGAGGCAGAUAGUAUUUGUGUGGAUAAAUUUACUGUAGGUGGAUCUCUAGAUUCUCAGGUUACAAGAUCCGCAAGCUAUGUAAACAGUGACUUGGGAGUUGGAAGCAAAGAACUGACAGAUGUGUUUACUGAGAUUUCCAAGGAUAGUCCUAACCUCGAGGACACAGGGUAUCCCAAUGAAGCGAGUAAGAAAGGUCUGGUUGAUCUCACAGUCGGUAAGCAGAUAGAUGAGCUUUCAUUUGAUACAGAAUAUCCCUGGAUUGGUGUUGCGAAAACAGAACCAUGGUGGCGAACUGCAGACACAGAGGAACUUGCUUUAUUGGUUGCACAGAGAUCACAUGAUUUUAUGGAGAAUUGUGAUCUUCCUCAGCCUCAGAACAAUUUUGUUAAACAAGACCGUGACGUGGAUGUUGACAGUAAGAUUUAUGCUUCUUCUAUGGGUCCGAAAGCUGGAAGUAUGCGCCAACAAAAUACGAAUAUUCAUAAACGUGGCAAUCUUUCAUUUGAACGCCCGUCACAGUUAGAUGCUGAAGGGAAGUUGCAGCUUCACACUUGCAAGUCAUCAAGUUUGAAGAACAGUGACACCGCUGGCCAAAAGGUUGUGCCUAAAAUGAGCACAUCUGGAAAUGAUGAAAGCAAGGCCCAACUACUAAAAGCACUUCGUCAUUCUCAAACGCGUGCUAGGGAAGCUGAGAAUGCGGCAAAGCAAGCCUUUGCAGAGAAGGAGCACGUUGUUCAGCUGGUCUUCAGACAAGCAUCACAACUUUUUGCCUACAAGCAAUGGUUCCAGCUAUUGCAACUAGAGAACUUCUACUUCCAGAUUAAAAGCAACAAAAAACAUCCAAUAUCGGCCAUGUUACCUGUAAUGUUACCGAGGGUGCCCAAGAAAAGUAAGAGACCGCAGAAGAAGUCUGCUAGGGUGAAAAGAGCCAAACGUGGUCGUCCCAGGUAUGACUUGAGCAGAUAUGCAGUUGUUUUUGCAUUAGGUUUGGGUCUUGUUGGUGCAGGUUUGCUUCUUGGGUGGACAGUCGGGUGGAUGGUACCGACGUUCUGAGCUGUGUAGAUUGUAUCCAAUUUUAUUUUUUUUAAAUAGUAGUUUUGUAAAGAUUGGUUUACAUGGGAGUUGAGUGGGUGGUUGUGUCUAUGUAUGUUAGUUGUAUGAUCAUUUCUCCAUUUCCUUUGGUCUCAGCUUUUAGUACUUGAAUUGAAAUGGAAUCAUGUACUUGAAGACUAGCAAGCAUGUAUAUAUAUUAGGCAGAAUUAUGUUUUUUC